CACAGUUGACUAAAUCGAAAACGGUGAUCAUUAAAUGAAAAAAUACGAUAAAAUAAGAAAUGAUUCCGGCGUCCGAGGUAUUUUUCUGUAAUAGUUCGGAAACUAUUGUAAUUUUUAGUGCAGGAGAAGUGAUUUAUAUAAUAAUAGCCACAUACACCAUUUGAUUCUUCAAUAAUCCUGAACUUUCUGUAAAAUUAUCAUCAUUGCGAAGUACUCCAGUUAUAGGCCUUGAUUCCCUUCGAAAUCGCAAUUUUGAAAUCGAAAAAUAUACGGCAUAAAUGGAUAUAUUUUCAAGUCAAACUUAUAUCGAUCAUAUCAACUUACAAUUUUGAUUUUUUCACAGGUUAUAGGCUGUCCAGCUCGGUGUUCAAGCAACAAGGCAACUCAACCCUCCGUUCUAAUCACCUAUCAAUAUU